rnacentral:rRNA from 1 species
AAUAGAUACCCGGGUAGUCCUAGCCGUAAACGAUGGGCACUAGGUAGGGGGCUCGCCGAUGGGCUCCCUGCCGUAGGGAAACCGUGAAGUGCCCCGCCUGGGGAGUAUGGUCGCAAGGCCGAAACUCAAAGGAAUUGACGGGGGCUCACACAAGCGGUGGAGCAUGUGGCUUAAUUCGAGGCUACGCGAAAAACCUUAUCCUGGGCUUGACAUGCAGGGAUUAGCCGGCGGAAACGUCGGUGACGCCGCAAGGUGGAACCUGUGCAGGUGCUGCAUGGCUGUCGUCAGCUCGUGCCGUGAGGUGUUGGGUUAAGUCCCGUAACGAGCGAAACCCCUGUGACUAGUUGCCAGCACGUAACGGUGGGGACUCUAGUCAGACCGCCGGCGUCAAGCCGGAGGAAGGCGGGGACGACGUCAAGUCAUCAUGGCCCUUAUGCCCAGGGCUGCACACGUGCUACAAUGGGGCGGACAGAGCGUCGCCAGGCCGCAAGGCCGCGCUAUCGCAAAACCGUUCCUCAGUUCGGAUUGCGGG